UUGACAUUUAGAAUCUGUACAUCUUUUAAAUUGAAAAUUAGAUUUUUUACAUUAAGUGGACAUCUGGACUUCAUGGACAGUCCAAUUGGACAUGGUCCUAUUUGGUAAUGGUCCUAUUUGGUAAUGGAAUUAUUUGGGCUUCGGCCAAAAAUGCCCAAAAAAAAGUCCAUCUGGACAUACCCAAAUCCGUCCGGACGGCCCAUUUGACACCCCUACUCUGAACCCACUAUCCGCGACAUGGCUGUCUUGCUUUACCAAGCUCAGCAGCUUCAUUACGACAGCGCCACUAUGAUCAUGAGGCCAAGGCUAUUACUCAGUCUUUGGAAGGGCAGAUGAGUUCUGUUACAGAGAAAAGUGCUAAGUAUGCUCAGAUUGCUGCUGAGGAAGUGCCCAAGAGUCUUUACUGCCUUGGUGUUCGUCUCACUUUCAGAACUCUAAGUUACAGGGGAAGCUAUGCUGUGGCUUCUAAGCUCACCCAUAACAGUCUUUACCAUUUCUGUGUGUUUUCUGAUAACAUUGUUGAUACUUCGGUUGUGGUUAACUCCACUGCUCUCAACUCCAAGGUAAAGAUAUGCUUGGUUAAUGUAUAUUACAUUUAUAUCUACCAAUUAUGUUGAUUGGUUUCCAGACUAUCAGUUUUCAAUCAGCUUAGUUCUCAGUUAUAGGUUUCUGAUUACCAUCAUGGUUGUAGAUUCUUCUCUUGGCAUCUUUAGUACAGUGUGAUGAAUGAGCAAUAAGUUUUAUGAAUACCUUUUUUUUGGCAGAAAAAUUCCGAUUUACUGCUGAGUUUAUUGAAAUGAGGCGAGCAGCAUUGGAUAUAUUUGUUAAUUGGAUAGCAUUACACCCUGAGCUUCAGCAUAGUGAGGAUCUUAGGACCUUUUUGCAAGCUGAUGAAGAGGUAUGAUAUCUCAACUUUUACCUUUCUGGCAUAAAAAAAAAUUAUGGUUGCAUUUACUGUCUCCCCCCAUGAGGGACUAUACGUUGCAUUAUAUAGAAGGUUAUCGUCUUUCUGCUUGAGAGUUUUACUUUCUCUUCAGACAAUGGAAAGAUUCAGGUUUCGGGAAACUGGUAUAUUCAAGGCGAAGCCUGCUGAUCUAAUGCAAAUGUUUAGGGUAAGCAUACCUUUUUCCUUUCCAUGUAAAAAUAACAUACAAGACCCAUCAGCGGAUUCAUGUUGGGAUUGGAGCCAAUGAUGGACUCACUAUAACAUUAUGCUCUGAUAGUGUUUAAUGGUGGCAACUGUUAAGAGUUCAGAGUUAACACUAUAAUUAGUUACUUAGCUAUACCGUGGGUGGAAAUCCAUAACGCAAGAUCAAGACAUCUUACAUGUGGAAUUUAUUACUGAUUUCAUUCACUCUUUUCCCCAUGCUCUUGAUUAACUUGGUAUUAUCUUAAUGCCACAUCUGCUCAAUUGACAGGAUGUGCAAUCAAAAGUUAGUGAUGCUGCUCGCGGAAAGGAAAAACCUGUCGAAGAAACUACUCCUGAAUACGAGAAGCUUAAACAUUAUGUUUUUGAGCUUGAGAACCACUUAGCUGAGGCUCAGAAGCAUGCAUAUCGCCUCGUCAAGAGGCAUAGAGGUAAAUAACAAUGUCUGUACUCUUAGUUUGAAGUAUGAAAAUUCUCUUAUAUUUUCUCAAAGGCAUGUAUGGAUCUUUGUAUGUGAUGUUUUGUUAACCUGAUGGCAGAGUUGGGUCAGUCACUGUUGGAUUUUGGCAAGGCUGUAAAACUUCUUAGGGCUUGUGAGGGUGAACCUACAGGAAAAGCCUUCUCUGAUCUUGGAACUAAAUCUGAACUGUUAUCGAUUAAGCUCCAGAAAGUGGUACUAAUUUUUGUAAGAUAUUGCUAAGCAUAGAUCAUCUCUUUCCAUCUUUUUCAAUUAGUAAAAUGAUGCAUGUUGAAAUACCUUACACUACUUGUAGGCUCAACAAGUUUUGAUGAGCUUUGAGGAACCGUUGAAGGAUUAUGUUCGUUAUGUGCAAUCCAUCAAGAUGAUUUUCUCUAGCUUUUGCCUUUGGGAUUAGAUCCUGUUUAUGCACACUAGACAUGUCUGGACAUUAAACUCUACCCUCUUGCUUUCGUUUUGUGUAUUCAAGGCGACAAUAGCAUAACGAGGCACUGCAUUCAGGCAACAUUGUGAAUUGGCAGAAACAACAAAGUUAAAGGAAAUAAACCUGUAUGAUAUCUGUUCUGAGUCAAAUAUACUUUGGAACAUUCUAUAAACCCUUCUCUUUUACUUGCAGUGACAAACUCAUGCUCACACGUUCUGACAAAGUAGGAGAAGCUGAGAAGGAAUACAGAGAGGUAACAACAACAACUCCAACUUAAAAUGAUUUCUCUUUGACCAUAUCUGGUGGUGCUUAGGAAGCAACGAUAAGAUUUGAGAGGAUGGUGAAGAGAAUGAAAAGAGAUAGUGAGGUUCUCAAUGCUCAAUUAUACCUUUUUAUAAGGCCUUGUAAAACAAACUAUAAAAGAAUGAUGUUCUUUAAUAAGCAAAAAAAUGGUGGAAGGUUAAUUUGGUGAUUUAUAAACUCUUAUAAAUAGAUUUAAACCUUGUAAAUUAAUUUAUAAACACUUAUAAAUAAAUGUAUAAACUCUUAUAAAUAGCUUAUAAGUUCUUGUAAAUAGUUUUAUAAACCCUUUUAAAUAGUUUUAUAAACUUCAUAAAUAGUUAUAUAAAUAUUUAUAUGUGUUUUAUAAACUUUAUAGAUGGUUGAUACAAGGUUUUAUAAGCUCUUAUAAAAUUUAUAAAUGGUUCAUAAAUGGUUUUAUAAACCUUUAUAAAUAGUUAUAUAAAUAUUUAUAUGGUUUUAUAAACCUGUAUAUUUUUUUUAUAAACCCUAUAUAAACUCUUCAAAACCCAUUAAAACCUUUUAUAAACCCUUACAAAUUCUAUAUAAAAUCUUUAUAAACACAUGUAAGUGAUUUUGUAAAACCUUUAUAAAUUUUAUAAACCAUUGUAAUCAUUUUAAACAUUUUGUGAUGACUUGAAAAAAAAAACUUAUGGGAGCUACAAAGCAGUUUCAAUAUGUUCUUACUGUGAGAUCAGAGGUUAGAUUUGUACCUGAGCUUCUUCUUUUGGAGAUGAAGUGUUUAAUUCCUUUUAGGAGUUAUGAUAGUUAGAGGUGAUCUUGCAGUAGAAUGUGGAUGGGGGAGAUUAGCUAAUAUACAAGAAGAGAUUAUAGCUGUUUGCAAAGUUGCUAGUGUACGUGAUUUGGCGACUCAGGUUAUUUAAAUUGCUUGUCAAUGGUCUUCCAGCUCGAGCUGAGAUCACAUAUGCUGCAAAUGGCGGAAGGUCAAAAAUAUUUCACCAAAAGUAAACAUGAUCCUGCUAAACAUUUCUUUGUCUAACUAUGAAGUUUGAAUAUUUUUGCAGGGCAAGCUGUGUGAUGUUGAACAAAGGCAAGCAUAUAGUUGAAGUUGUUUCGACGUUGGACACUAUCCUUCAAUACCAAGCUUAUCUAUAAGAAACCAGACUCUAAGAAACUACACUACUGAUGAUGCUGAUCACUGGAAAGAGAAUUUGUAGUUUGCUUGGUCCGUCCAUGAACUGGGUGUGUCCGGUCUAGUAUUUUGUGCAUACAUCCAAAACAUCAAGUAUUUUGUAACAGAGAGAAUAUUUGAGAAUAUUUAUAAGAGGUUUAUAUAUACUUUCUAAGAGGUAUAUAUAUCAUUUAUAAGUGUUUACAUUAUUAAUAAAAAUUCAUAAACCAUUUUAAAUCAUUUAUAAGAGUUUAUAAAUUAUUUAUAAGGGUUAAUUGAAUUGUUUAUAAGAUAUUACAAAUCAUUUGUAAUGGUUUAUUAAUGAUUUGUAAUGGCUUAUAAAUGAUCUAUAAUGGUUCAUAGAUCAUUCAUAAGAUGUUUAUAUAUCACUUUAAGGGUUUAUAAAUAGUUUAUAUAGUGUUAUAAACCGUUUAUAUAAUUUUAUAAAUGAUUUAUAAAACCUUAUAAAUGAUUUAUAAAAACUUAGAAAUGAUUUAUAAAAACUUAUAAAUGAUUUAUAAACAAUAUAAUGAUGUGGGAAUCAUGAUAACUUUCACUCCAAUGGUUUUUAGUAAGAAAAUAAAUGUUUAUAAGAGUAAGCAUCAGUUUACUUCAAAGUAGAAAUGGUUGAUUUUAAGUAAAAUAGAGUAUAGAAGGAUUUGGGUAAUUUAAAUUUAAAAGAAACCGUAAAAUGAUUUAUAAAGACUUAUAAAUCAUUUAUCAGGCAUGAUUCAUAAACUAAUUUGUAAGGGUUUAUAACUUAUUUUAUAAAGAUUGAUAUAUUAGCUAUAAAAUUUUAUAAAGGCUUUUAAAUUAUUUAUAAUAGUUCAUAAAUAUUUCUUAAUCAUUUAAAAUAUUUUACGACUCAGCUAUAGAUAUUUAUACAUCAUUUUGUAACGAUUUAGAAAUCAAUUAUAAAGAUUUAAAAAGACUCUUAUAAAUAAUUUAUAAGCCUUAAAAAAGUUAUAAUGAUCUAGUAGGGUCCUAUAAAUCAUAUACAGGUGCUCAUAGAUAAUUUUAUAAACGUUUAUAACUAAUAUUAUAAGAGUUGAUAAAUGGUUAUAGAGUUUAUAAGUUAUUUUUAUAAGGGUUUAUUAAUAUUUUUAAAUACUUCUAAAUCAUUUAUAAGAGAGUUCAUAAAUAUUUAUAAAUCAUGUAUAAGAGUUUAGAAUUCAGUUAUAAUAAUUUAUAAAUCAUUUUAUAAAGGUUUAUAAAUUAGUUAUAAAAAUUUAGAAAGUAAGGGUUCUUCUGGCUUUCCUUCGACUCUAUAUAAAUAUUAAGACAUAAGGGUUCUUAAGUAAGUGAUGUUACAAAGUAUGUACCCAAAGCAAUCAAAAGAGGUUUGGUGUUAAGCCAAUUUACACUAUAUUAUAUACCCUGAAAAUGAAACACGCUCUCCUGGUUUAGCUCCAGUAGGUGGUAGCAAUGGUUCCACCACUGAGUGGUCUUCAUUUGAAGCACAAAGAACCUGUAGCAAAGAAACCAUUAACAAAAAAGAAGGGCAAAUGUGAAAAGCUUACAAUAUUUUGAUCGUUGAUUAACUGGAUUGAUGCAGAUAGAAGAAAGUCUUACCAUCCUCCUGACAUAACAUCUCGUAGCUAUUCAGGUUUGACAUUUGUGAUGAGCGCAACAAGCCGGUUCUUCGUCAUCAUAACAAAUCAACCAAGGAACAACAGAUAAGUAAGCUUUUAAGUUUCAAGAACCUGACCAUUACAUCGAUUGAUAAACCAAAACUAUACGCAUACAACCAAAGAUUCUUUUAUUUAUUAGUAAAUUAAGACAUCACUAUACCAUACUAUACUCACACAGCACCUACCAAAACAUACAAGUAAAGCGACGUAUCCAUAAGCAACAAUUGAAGUGAUGAGGCGUUCCUCUCCUUUCAGUCGAGUAAGAAAUACCUCACCCAUUUACCACUGCCUUCUUCCCUGGAGGGAGAUCACCUUGACCGGGCUCUUCACCAUAGAACUUUGACUCGAAAAAGAUCUUUAUUUGUUUAUAAACUCUCCUUGUGGAUGGUUGGACGAAUUAUCCGAAGAGGGUCGCAGUGGAAGUGCAGUGAUGUAUGCAGCUGAGGCAUCCUAACAGAUUUAUACAAAGAAGAGUAUACACAAACAUAUACAUACCAAUACAUGACCAUUCUUUUGUUGGCUUUUGUAUUGAAUCUGAACGAGAACAUGUAUACAAUUAAACACAGAUAAAUAAAAGCAUCACCAAUCUUAAGAGAAUGAGUAAUAGAGUACCUCUCUUGGUCCAUAAACAGCUGCAAUUACUUUUGAAUUACCCAUCUAGAAAACAUCAGAAUUAGACAAGAACAACAACAGAAGUUUGAGUUUUUAAUUCAUGCAAGUGCCAAAUUAGAACUGAGAUAAAAGAUAGGAAUAAGAUCCGUGUUUACCAAAAUUGUUUGUGAGAUUGGGGCUGAUCUCAAUCAAAGCUUCUAGUAACAAAAUGAAUACUCUUCUAGUCUUCUUCCAUCGAUGGCUAUGGCGGAAGGGUAACAGUGGUAACAGCCUUCAAUCGCUUCAAGAACCAAAGUUUCUGGAUUCAAUGAGGAUCACAUCGCUCAUGGAAGCUUCGGUUUUGAUUGAUAAUCGCUUCUUCGUGCUGUUAAGUUUAACUAGGUAUUGAAUCUCGUAAAGGAGUCGAUAUUUUAGAGGUUUUGAAUUGGGAUUCUCUGGAAUUUCUUUUGUCGCCGCUGCGUGAGAGAAAGAGAGGGCGGAUCCCGACGGUGACUCCGAGAGAAGAUAGAUCUCAAAAAGAGAGAAGAAUCGAUGAUUGAGGAGAAGAUAAAGUAAGAGUAGUACUCCCCCUAGUAGUUUUACCUAAAAGCACAAAUAUUUAGAAAGUUGUUAUUUAAAAAAAUAUAUCAUUUAAUCAAUUAAUUCAACCAAUUAUAAAAAAUUUGACAUUAUUUUAUUGGUCACACAAUAUCCAAUAAAUGAAAAAAGUGCAUUGAAAUAUGUAAAUUACUUAUAUGGUGAAACAAACUUUUUUUGCUAAAACUACCUACAUUUAAAAACAGAGGGAGUAUCUCUUUUGCUCAUUAAUGAAAUUGCUCAUUAAUGAAAAUGGUAUUUAUGAAAAUAUCCCUAGAUUGAUGGUAAAAUUGAAUUGUGGUAUCAAACAAAGUGUAUAAGUAAAAUUUCUCCAUAACCUUAAUGAAUUAAGUUAAUUAUUAUAAUAAUAUUUUUAUUUAACUUUUUCUUUGUUAAUAUUUGUUUCCAAAUCACCUUAUUCUGAUAAUGUAAUAUCUUUCUUAUAAACAUAUAGCUUUCUAUUAAUUUAAUUAAACAAAUUUAAAUUUAUACAAAUCAAAAGGAAAUUUAAUAGAGAAUGCAAUAUCUACAUUAAAUAUAAAUAUAAAUAUAUAUCAAUUUUUAUAUUUAAAGUAUGUAAUUUAAUAAUAAACAACACGAGACCGAAUAGAAUUCAUAUAGCAUGCUUAUGUUCCAAAUGUAAUACGUGAUACCAUAACACUUGAUUUCUUUGAUCAUUAAUAAAAUCAAAUUUCGUGGAAAAAUAAAAUAAAAGAAAAAUGUAUUUAUCUCUACUAUAUAAAAGGAACUAAAUUAGAAGAUUUCUAGGCAUGCCACAUCAGCACAAAUAUUUAGAGCCAAUCAAAGUUACACAUCAGCACACUAAACGUGAGUUUCAUGAAAAAUAUUUUGAAGCCCAAUUUAGACUCCCGGCCCAAAUUCUCUUUCUUCUCCGCCUUGCCAAAGGAAAUUCUAACGGCGACAGUUCUUGUGUUCUCUGGUGAAACGCCUUUUCCCACGACAAUGAAUCAUCAACCUUGCUUCAUUAAUUUCUUCAUUAAUUUCUCAAUACCAAACAAAUGUUCUCUUCACCUUCCCCGUUGUUCUCUUCACCUUCCCCGAGCUUCCCACUAUAAAAUCAACUCUGCAUAUAAGAAAAAGCAGAAGAUAUCGCAUCCAUGGUUUUCAACAAUGUUGCUACAGGUUGGGAGAGACCAUAAUUAUCUUCAAGCUCAUACAUUUUUGGCAAGUUUAAUUGCAACACGCAAUGAGGAGUCUCUGAUUGGUGUAGAGAUGCUGCUCAUCUACAAACAGGUGGGAUUCUAUUUACUAUUCAUAUAUUCUCUCUUUUCAAGAAUCAGAACCCCAGACUAAUUGCAUUAACACAUUAACACAUGGCUCAUCGCCUGAUUGUGUUGUUUAGAAGCCACAUAUGAAAAUCUGUAUCAGGCGUCCUCUACCAGAGUGAUUGUUAGUGAGAAAUUCAAAGUUUUAUGUGGCAUCAUGUUAUUUCAUCUGCUAACAUCAAAACCAAUAAAUCUAAGCAAUGAAAAACGAUGAGCAGAACGAGGCGGUGUCUUUUGUUUUGAUUUUUGUAUCAGAUAUUAAAGAUCGUAACUGUUGAGCUCACCUUACUUCAACUUUGCAUUUACAUUGAUGUUGGUUAAAAAAAAAAAACUUAAUUCACAGUUCUGAGUCGUUCUUUCUUUAAUUAUAUGAAGAGAAUUUUAAUCUACUUUUCACUUUAUUUGGGUUUAGAUUGUGGAUGGAAUCACUUUGUUGUAAAGUAUAUGGUACAAGUUGAAUCGAUGUGGGUUGUAGAGCUACAAUAUUCUUAGUGUUAUGUCAUGAUUAAAUCUUCUGUCUUUCUCUGAUUGUUAUCGGUGAAAGUUAUACAAUCUUUUGGCUUUAAAGAUUCUGAUUCAUGUGUAAGAAAGUUUCUUAGUACAUUAAAAACGUUUACACUUUUCUUAUCAUGAAAAAACAUAAACUUUAUUACUUGGAUUGUUUUUUGUUUGUUUCUAUGAUAAUUUUACUUGCUUCGUGAGCUCAAGGUGGUUAUACAAUUACAGGUAUUUGAUCUUACAGAAGUGAAACCCAUUGUACGGUACAGUUUGGCGUUUUUGCAGUGAAACGAGAUGAAUGUGCAAGAGAAUGCAGAGAAAGGAUGCAGUUUAUGGUGAGUAAUAUAUAUACAUAUUUAACCUUUAGCGUAUGGGAAUUAGAUUUUUCAAGUUAGUGGCAAUGAUGAUGAUAGAUGGCAGGUGGUGAUGAUCCAGUUGGUUGGGUUCCUGGUUGUCUCGAUACAACUUGGCUUUAAAAAUUCUUCAAUCCAAAUUGUAUCAAGAAACAUCAAGAUUCUACCAGAGACGAGACAGGUUUUGAUUUGUUUACACUUGAUUAGAAAACUUCUUGCACAAUAAUUUGUAACUUUUGUUUCUCUGAUUGAAGUGGUUUUUAAUAUCUCCAUUUGUUUAAAGUGCAGUAAGAUUUUUUCGUUGGUAGCUUCGUUCUUUGCUGCAGUGUAUGUAACAAAAGCGAAAGCAUAUUUUCCCCAAAAAAAAUUAGAAUUCAGCUCAAAGUUGUAAUGUCUGCAUCAGCAGAGGUGCUUCAAAUGUAUCUCGCAUGGAGACAACAGGUCUGUGAGACAUUCUGACCUCAGGUGAUGGUAAUAAUAGGUGGCAGGUGGUUUUAGUGGCAAUGAUGAUGAUGAGGAUAGGUGGCAGGUUGUGAUGGUCAAGUUGGUUUGGUUCGUGGUUGUCUCGACGAGAUACACAAAGGGUGGCAUGAUGCUUUUGACAUACACAACUUUGCUAUGUAACUCUAAAAUUCUUCAAUCCAAAUUAUGAUAAAAAUAUAUGUUUCAUACAUGGAUAAUAACUUGAUCGUAAAAUAAGAAAACAUGAUGUUCGAAAAAAAAAGCAAACAUAAAAAAAUAUAGCAGUAACAAAAAACACUAAUUUUUAUAUUGUGUAUCUAAUUAAGAUACUAACUCUAUUACAUUGAGUCAAUUAUUUCUUCUUUCGCAAUAUCUAAAUCAAAUUUAAGAAAAAAAAGUAUAACAAAAAAUCAAAGUAAAUGUACAAGAAUACAAAAAUAAAUAAUGAUUUGUGUAGAUUCAAAGUAUAUACAUAACUGUUUGCAGUGUUGGUGUGUAUAACUAUUUUCUCGAUGAUAUAUUCUUUGAUUGUUUUGGUCUGGAAUAUAAACCUAACAUAUUGUUUUGUUCCAUUUAAUUAUGUAAGUAUACAUGCUUUAUGAUGUUAUUUUACUAUGUGGAAACUGAGAAUGAGAUAUUUAAUUACAUAGAAACAUUCAAUACAUCGCCACUGAAAAGAUUAAAUAAUUUAGUUACUUCUUUUGGUUUUAGUAUUUGAAAACAAAAAAAAAUUUCAGAAAACAUUUGCACGCUGUCUGGUUUCUCUUAAUUUCCAUAUUAUUAAUGAUUACGCUACAUUUAAGUUAUUUGAUUAAAUUAUGUUUGGUUUACUCUAGCUUAUUCGAAGUAAAUUAUUUGUUAUGAUAGGGUGUGAAACUCAAGUAAAAUUCUAUUAGAAAUGCAAUAUCUUAUUAAUUUAUAACACUAUUUAUAAAAAUAUUUUUAAAUGGCAUGAGUGACAUUUCAAUAAAAAAAAAUUUAUAAAAAAAAUUCAAAAAUGCUAAAAUAAUUUACAAAACAUAAUUAGUAAAACACUAAAAAUUAGGGAAAACUUCAUUAUAACUUGAAUAUAUAAUAUAAACUGAAAACAUAUAUUUGAAAACAUAAUUUUUGUUACAUAAAAUAUUCUAAUUAUUAUUUAUGAAAUUAUCGAAACUUUUUAUAUUAUUACUUUAAAAUAUAAUUAUUUAUAAUUUUAUCACAUUACAUUUGAUUUUCGAUUGAUUUAGCUUGGAGGUGGAUGUCUUAUUAUCGCGAGAAAAUAAGUUAUUGUAAUAAUAUUAAAAUCUGAUACUAGAAAUAAAAAAUAUUUGUUAUUCUUACUUAAGAUUUUCUUAAAUUUAUAAAAUUGCAAUGAAAAUAAAAUAGAAAAAUAUUAAUCAAUGCAUUUUUCUUAAUUUAUUUAAUAAUUUUGUAUCUUACAAAAAAAUGUGAAUGGUCUUUUCAACUCAAACCAACAAAAUUUAAUAAAAUUUAUAAUAUAUAUAUGAUCUUAGAAUAAAAACAGUUUAAAGUAAAUUGUCAAAUGUUUUAUAAAAUUAAAAUUUUAGUAUAAAAUAGUUUUAAUGUAUACUCAUCCGCCCGUAGUGUGGGCCAACCCCUAGUAUAAAUAAAAUGAAUAGAAGAUAAAAAAUAAUAACAUUAAUAAAAAAUAUAUCAAACUUUUACAUUUAAAACCUAUAAUAACAACUAAAACUAUUAUAUAUGAAUUUUGUUAAUAACGACAAUUUUUUUUUUAAUAACAACUAUUUUUAUUUCCUUUUUUCUUAGUAAAAUUUAAAGGGGGAUUUGACAAAAAUGACUCAAAACUUUAUUUUGAAUACAAAAGUGUACCCCAAAUUCAAUCAAAUGCAAAAACAACCCAAAAGCCUAGUGAAAUUAUAACAACCCCUUUAUGAACAAACAAAAAACAUGUGUUCAGUUUUACCAUUAUAACCUUCCGUUAGAGAAGACUUACAAAUAAGUCUUCUCUAUGAUGAUUUUUUUGUAUGUCUUCUCGUUCAGUAGAUCUUAAAAAUAAUUUUAUUAUUUUAUAAAAAAUAUUUUGAUGGGUAAAAAUUUGAAAUCAUGUAAUAAUAAACAUUUAUCAAUGAUGUAAAUUUAGUUCAUCUGAAAUUGAAUUAUUUUCAACAUAGAUGAGUGAAUGUACAUUGGCUCAUGAGUCAUUGAUUUAGGGUUUUGUAAAUAUGUUAUAGUAUUGUAUGUAUAUUUACGGUUAGUUUCUGAAAUCUUACCUUCAUUUUUCAAAUUGACUCAUAUAUUUUUAGUAAAUAUCAUGUAAUAUUUAAACAUUUUCUAAGUUUCUUUUAAGUUUAAGAAAAUGUUUUUUGCAUAGUUGAUUGAUUUUAGGGUCUGGAAGACUCACAUAAGACUUAAAAAGACGUCUUCCGACACAUUCCACCUAAAUUUUAGUAGAAUUUAGGGUUCCCGCCAAAAUUUUGGAAAAAUUUAGGUUUGCCGCCUUAAUCAAAGUCUUCUGUAAGUCAUCUAAGAGUCUUCCAAAGAAAGUCUUCUUAAGGAUUAGAUCUUAAAAAUAAUUAAUAAAUUUUAUAAAAAAUAUUGUCAAAGGGAAAAAAUGAAAAUCAUGUAUUAAUAAACAUUUCUAAAAGAUGUAAAUUUAGUUUUAUUGAAAUUAAAUUAUUUUUAAUAUAGAUGAGUGAAUGUAGAUUGAGUCAUGAUAUUCUUUGGUUUAGGGUAUUGUAACAUAUGUUGUAAUAUUGUUAGUAUUUUUAGGGUUAGAUUUUGAAAUCUCAUCUUAUCUUUUUUCUAAAAAAAUUUGACCUAUAUGUGAUUAGUGAUUGUCUAAUAACUUGAUUUAAACACUUUCUAAAUAUCUUAAAAGUUUAAGAAUGUGUUUUUUUGAUUAGUUAUUUGAUUAUAGGGUCUGGAAGACUCACAGAAGACUUCCCAAGAAGUCUUAUGACAUGUCCCGCCUACAUUUUAGUAGAAUUUAGGGUUUCUGCCUAAAUUUAGAAAAAAUUAGGUUUUCUGCCUAAAUCGAAGUCUUCCAGAAGUAUUCCUGAAGUCUUCUAGGAAAAGUCUUCUCAUGUAUUAGAUCUUAAAAAUAAUUAAUAAAUUUAAUAAAAAUAUUUUGAAAGAGAAAAAAUAGAAAUCAUGUAUUAGUAAACAUUUCAAAACGAUAGAAAUUUAGUUUUACUAAAUUUGAAUUAUUUUUAACAUAGAUGAGUGAAUCUAGAAUUAGUCAUGAUAGUAUUUAGUUUAUGGUUUGGUAACAUAUGUUAUAGUAUUGUUGGUAUUUUUAGGAUUAGAUUUUGGAAUCUUAACUUUAAAAAACUUGUUUUGACCUCCUUGUGUUUAGUUUUGUGUAUAUUAAACACUUUAUAAGUUGAUUAAAAGUUUAAUGAAUUAUUAUUUUCUAUUUAGUUAGUUAUUUGAUUAGGUUAUAGUUUGGAAGACUUCCAGAAGACUUCACAAGAAGUAUUCUAACAUAUUCGCGCCUAAAAUUAGUAGAAUUUAGGUUAUCCGCCUAAAUUUUAGUAGAAUAUAGGUUUCCCGCCUAAAGCAAAGUCUUCUAGAAGUCUUCUCAUGUAUUUGAAUUUAGGAUCUAGAAGACUUCUCGGGAAGUCUUCUCUUAGAAGACUUUUAAAGAAUCUUCCGUAUCGAAAAUAUUUAACCUAAUUGGAAUUUUUGUCUCCAUAUAUAAAGAAAAUUUACACAUUCUCUUUCUUCCUCUCAAAUAGCUGCAAUAAAAAUAUAAUGUUUCCCACUCUAAAACUCUUCAUCUCUUUGAACAUCAAUACACCAAAUUUAAAUCCAUUUCUCAAUUUUUUCUUAUGCCUUCUCACUAAUUUAUCUUCUUUUUGCAGUUUUUUCAUUGCAUAGUUCUCGUCUUUCACUCAUUAAAAUGUAGAUUCAUAAAUGUUGGAUAUGUAUUACUUUGUGUUUUAUAUAUUAUAUUCUAAAAAACUAUAGAUUCAACCUAUUGUGACUGUUUUUUUAUUAUUUAAGCAUAAAAUUAUAUUUUUGAAGUUUUUAUUUGUUUUGAAGCCAUUUGAAUGCUUUUGAAUUUGCAGGUUUUCCAGAUCUGAGACUGACUUUGAAAGACUUCUCAGAAGACUCUCGGAAGACUUCUAGACAAGUCUUCUAAUACAUUUUAUGUUAGAAGACUUCCCACAAAGUCUUCAGGAAGUCUUCUGCCCAAAAUAGUACAAAUUUUGGAUAUGUAUUUUUGUGUGUUUAUAUAUUGGAUUCUAAAAAGUUAUAAAUUCAACCUAAUGUGACAAUUUUUUGUUUAUUAUUAAGCAUAAAAACGUGUUUUGAAGUUUUGAAGCUAUUUGAAUGCUUUUGAAUAUAUAAAAUUUUCAGAUCUAAAUCAUACUUUGGAAGACUUCUUAGAAGACUCUUGGAAGACUCUCGGAAGACUUCUUGGGAAGUCUUCUAAUGCAUUUUAUGCUAGAAGACGUCCCACGAAGUCUUCAGGAAGUCUUCCAAGUUUGAAUAUGCAGAUUUUUCAGAUAUGAGUUAGACUUUGGAAGAUUUCUCAGAAGACUCUUGGAAGACUCUCAGAAACUAUCAGAAGACUCUUGGCAGACUCAGAAACUCUCAAAAGACUCUUGAGAAGUCUUCUUAUGUAUUUUAUGCUCGAAGACUUCCCACGAGGUCUUCGGGAAGUCUUCCAAAGUCUUUUGUCCAAAGUGGUACAAAGGAAUGAUGUCAAGUGGAGUCCAAGCUUAUCUAUGUUGAGGAAUGAUAUCUAGUUUCAUGUGUAAUAGUUUUGUUUAUGGUUUGUUUUAUGAUUUGUAUGUGCACUAUUUAGUUGUGAAUUCUUAUGUAAACUUAAAGAAAUGUUAAUCGAAUGAAUUUGCUAAAUAUGUUCAUAUUUUGCCAAAAGUACUUGACAUUAUUGAAGUUAUUGAUACAACUUACCACAAUUUUUUUUAACCAUUCUACCCACUCAUAACAAAACACAACAACAUAAAAACUUAGUCAAAUUUACUAAAAAUAAGAGAGAAAACUUAAAAAAAACUAAGUCAAAUUCACAAACGAUCAAACUUGAAUUUUAAGUGAAGUUACUUAACACUUUUGAAGUUAACACUUAUGACGAAGACUUACAGAAGACUUCUCCGUUUAGCUAGAAACAUUAUUAAACAUCAAUGUUUGUAACUUCAUAAUUAUUACCAAUUAAGUUAUGAAUUCGACUCAGUAGUCCCAAUAUUGACUAAUAAACAUGAAUUAGUAAGAAAAUAUUAAAAAUUCAUUUUAAUUUUAGAUAAAUUUAAAGUUUAAUAAAGAUUUUUGUAGAAGACUUCUUUGGAGGUCAUCCAUGGAAGAAUUUAAAAGAAGUCUAUCUGUGUAGACUUCAAAAGAAGUCUUCUGUUUAUGUCAUUUUUUCAAUUGCAAAUUUACAAAGGAAGACUUCUUAAAAAGUCUACUCUACAGAAGACAUCUUCGGAAGUCUUCCUUUGUAAAUAUUGGCUUACUUUUGAAACUGAUAUUUUUUCAAAAUUCCCAGAGAAGACUUCUUUCGGAUAAACAAGUUACUUUUGAAUUUGACCGCAGUUGGUCAGAAUUUUGACUUUUUGUAGAAAACUUCUAGGGAAGUCUACCUGGAGAAUACUUCAAAAGAAGUCUUCCGGAAUUCUUCUCAAUGUCGCAAGAAGCCUGUUGGGUUACUAUUGCAAUUGACUAUAUUUGACUUUUCGAGAGAAGACCUCUUUAGAAGUCUUCCGUAGGAUGACUUCUCUAGAAGUCUUCUCUCGCGAGUAAAGGUUUGACCAAAACCCAGAAUUCAACUAAAGAAGACUUCUUAGAAGUCUUCUUUAGAAAUCUUCUCAUUGAUAUUAAAUGUUUUACUAUUAUUUUUCAAUUGCUAAAGUAACCCACGCAGACAUCUUCCGGCAUUGAGAAGACUUUCAGAAGACUUCUGUAGAAGUUUUCUCCAGGAAGACUUCUAAGGAAGUCUUCUACAAAAAGUCAAAUUUCUGACCAACUUUGGUCAAAUUUAAAAGUAACCUGUUUAUCCGAGAAGACUUCUAAAGAACUACCAAAUUUCUGAAAAAAGUCUUCUCUGAGAAUUUCGAAUUUUUUUUGUUUAUAAAGGAAAGUUAGAAGACUUCUAGACUUUAGAAGUCUUCUUCGUCGAACAAAUCUGAAAAAUAAAAUGUGGUUCGCGCUUUCAUACCUUGAACUCGUGAGAUGACUUGCGUGGUUUUCCAAUCACCCAGAACUUCACCAGAACAGCUACCUACUCGUUAAUCACCAAGAAUCGUGAGCUUAUGAACCUUACAUAAUUUGUAAACAAAAUCUUCAGUUUUUUGAUGAAUUUUGAGAGAAAGUGUAAGAUAUGUGGUUUGUAUGGAUAGGAAAUGAGAAAGGAUGAGAAAAAAUAGAAACUUUAGGGCAUUAACACUCUCAAUUUGGUAGUUCAUGGUGGUUGAGGUAUUGAUGUCAAUGGCAAAGUUGUACAUAUUUGGUGAAGAUGAGGAUGGUAAGGUAAAAUCGUUAUUUUCGAGAGAAAAAAGUAAUGGCAUUUUCGUGAAUAACUAGAACUUCUAGGGUGAAUAGGACAAAACAAAGUUUCAAAAAAGCAUAAAUUAUUUUUGUGUUUGACUUGAAAUUUUGAGUUAUUUUUGAAAAUGCCCAAAUUUAAAUAAAGUUUUUAACUAAAUUUUCCUUUUUGCACUAACUAAGUUUUAGCUUAAAUUUUCUUUUUACAAUGGAAAUUGCCACAAAUACCACAUUCAUAGUACCAUUAUUCAUGUCUACAUUAAUUAUUUAUAUCUUCACUUUUAAUGAAGGGUAUAAGACACUUAUAACUCUAGGGUUAACUAAUCUAGACUUAGGUUUAAAGUUGAAGGGUGGGAUAAGGUUUUUGGAAUAUGAAAUUUAGAAUUCUAAUAAAUAUAUAAAUAAAUAAUUCAAAUAUAUAAAAAAAAUUUCGAAAAAACAAAAUUCAAAAAGAAAAAAUCAUAAAAAAGUUCGAAUUUGAAAAAGUAUAAUUGGAAAACAUUAAAAAAUAUUUUUUUUAUUUGUUUUUAAAUAAUGAUUUAUUAUUUAUAUAGAGAACAAGGGUAUAAGAGUCUUUUACCACUUAAUGAUGAAAGUAUUUUUGAAAAUGUUCAUUUAGUGGUGGUAAAGAUGAAAAGUGGUGCCAUGAAAGUGGUAAAAAUAAAAUUUCCCCUUUUUACAAUAGCACAUAAGAAAUACAAUUAAAUAUUUAAAAAAUAUAAAAAAUAGAUUAUAUAUAAACGAUUUUUUUUUUUUAAUUUGUCAAAAAACAUAAACAAAUAUAGAAAUAUCUAUGAUUUUUAAAAUAUAGACAUAUAUUUUAUUGAAAUACAUAUUUAAAAUCAUACAUAAAUAUAUUUAUCAACCUAAGGAAAAUUAAACAAAGUAUAAUUAACAAUAUUAUUCUUAUUUUUGUCUAAUUAUGACCAAAAAUUAUGAUUCAUUUCAAAAUAUGAUAUAACCCAAUACACCAAAAUAUAAAUAGCGAAACCAAUCAAAAUAUGAACAAUUAAAUCAACCAAUUAUUAUGAGUUAUCUAUUAUAUAUAAAGUUAUAUAUGUUCAAUAGUUUUCAAAAUAUUACAAAUUAUGUUUAUUGAUUGAUAUCUGAGUUAAUAUUUAUAUUUUUCAAAUUUUCAAAACAACAUAUAUCAAACUAUACAAAAUUUUUGUAAACUAUAUUUACAAAUAUAAGAGCAAGAGGAUAAACUGAAACUAUCUACUAAUAAACCAAUUUUAACUUGAAUAAAAAAAAUCAUCAUCAAUUUAAAAUAAUAGAUGCAAACAACAUACAGUAACAAAUAGUUAAAUUAAUACAAAUAUUAUAUUUCAAAUUACAUAUCUGAUUAUGAUGAAAACAUAAAGAUACUUAAUCGAAUUUUCAUCAUACAUACAAACUAGGUGUUUCGCCCGCGAAUGCGGGCAUGAAAAUUUUGUAAUUACUUAAUAAUACAUUAUUUACUAACUAAAAGACUAUAAUAAUACAUUAUUAUAUAUAUAUUUUCUUUUUUUAACCAAUUAUUAUUUAUAUUUUCAUUUGGACAUUUUUAUGUAUAUUUUUAUAAAAAAAUUCUUCGUAUACUAUAUUUAUUAUUAAUAGGUCAAUCUUAAAAAUCAUUCAAUAUUCACUUUUCAAUUAUAUAAAAUUAAGAAUUUUACUUCAUUAAUAUUUAGUUAUAUGUGUUUUCUGUUUUUUUUUAAACAAUUAAUAAAUAUAUUUUCCAGAUAACAACAUAGUAUAUAUAAAAAUUAUCUUUUUUUUUAUUUUAAAAUAUAUAUUUGGAUUUUGGAUAAUAAUUAGUAUUAUUAGUUUUAAUCAAUUGUCUAAUCAAAAUAAUUUAAACUCUUUUUUAUUUUGAAGGUAAUUUAUAUAUUUUAUUCAUUAAGGGUAUAAAAAAUAUUAACAACUCUAACUUUUAACAUGAGAGCUUGGAUUCGAAAAUCACUUCGCAAAUAAUAAUAUAGAUUAACCUAUUAACAUACAAAAAAAAAUAUUUUUAAUAUUAUAAUUUAUUAAUUUUGUAAAUUUUAUUCUCGUGCAUGGCGCACGGGAGAAUCACCUAAUAUAAAAUUAAACAAAUUGAUAGAAGAUACAAAAAUUGUUAUCAAAUAUUCGUUAUUCAAAAUUAUUAAUAGUCAUAUAUGUUUUGAUCUUUUCUUUUUUUUUUUGAACACAAGUCAUAUAUAUUUUGAUCACAUUGGAUAAAUUUGUAGCUUCUAUUUAAAAAAAGAAAGAAGAAUAUUUUUGUACAUUAAUAAUUAAUUUUAUGGUCAAAUUAGUGUAAACUACAGUAUAUGUUUAGAUGAAUCAAACUUCUUCCUCUAAGAAAUCUAAGAAUUAAUAUACAGAUGACACAUGUCAUUGUCCAAACGUUGUAACCUUGUAAGGUGGACUUUAUGAGAUGGGAUUAUAUUCCCAUGUAAUAACUUUAUUUCAAUGGGUUCACAAAAAUGAAUUAUUUUGUUUUUUUGGUAUUUGAAUUAAAGGAUUUUUUUGGGGGUCUUAGGCUGGGAAAAUAACCACAAUGACUCUUGAGUUGUGUUUUCAAACACGGGAGCAUUCUUAAUAUUAACUUGGUAUUCACGCAAAAAAAAAAAUUGAUUUAGUUGCUUUACGGUACAAAAUUUGUCUUCAAAUAAUGUACUAUGCAUAGUGGUUUAUAGUUGCAUUUAAGGUUGGAAGCUUUCAUGUGUGCAAUAUUGUUUUGUGGUGGUUUGAAAAGAGUUCACGAAGCCAGACCUAAAAGCCUAUCCAGACCAAACGCCAAGACAUACUAAAUCAUGUCAUGCUAAUAUGCACUAUCAGCAUCACAUUUUGAAACUUGGAACACUUGAAAAUAUAUUGAGUUCUUUCACUCAUAAAUUAAAAGAACUGAUGUGCAUAAGAAGAUGAAAAAUGACAGUUAAUUUCGAAAUAGCAAAAGAGACGAGACGCGAGAAUUUGUAUCAAAUCUAGAAAUCGUCAUCAUCUUCCUCAGCCAUUUAUUAAGUGAGCUCCACUUCUUGCUGUUUCAUCUCUCUCUACUCUUCUCCUCACUCUCUUUCUCCAUGUGCGUAUUUGGUGGGAACGUCAACGCUCUCACCGCUUCGUUGUGCAUGUUUAAACAGAAUGCAAUUCUUGAGUUAAAGGCAUUCUGUAGCUUGUUAGUGGAGUAGAUGUCUCAUAUUUUCUUUGAGACCAUACAACCCUUCAGGUGGUCGACGGUCGCGUUGAUUGCUCCGUCUCUUAUGGAUUUAGCCACUAUGCUUUAUGCAUCUGCCAUCGGGUGUGCAGAGUUUAGCCUUAGCUUCUGGGUGACAUCUGGUAGAGAGAUUCUUGAGUAAGAGAUGCUAAUGUUGCGUAAGAUGCUAGUGUUGCGUAGUCCUGUUUUGUUUGUGUCGGAGCCUGACUAUGAGGUUGUGAGUCAUGUUUACAGAAAAUGUCUCAAACCUCUCUUAGACGUUACUGAGCUCUAAGUCACCUAUCCUCACUCGAAGAUGAAUCGCUAUGGGAUUUCACCCAAGAGGAGUCAAACUAAAAUAGCCCACUUGACGCAUUGGACUCUGAAGCCUAGAGUAGCGACAAGUGCUUUUCUAGCCGCCUGAAGGAGGCUCUCUUUUGCAUCAGUUUACUCUAGUUGGGUCGUCCAGAUUUUACUGAGUUGCACAAAUAUCAACAACUGUAAGACCACAUUCUGUGAGAUGUGUAUAUAUACACACACUAUAUUACAUUUGUAGAUAUGGAGGUCUAAGAAGGCACAAGUAAGGCAGGGAAAAGAAACAAAAUGUAAAUAUAAGAACAUAAUGGGAGAGCAAAGCCUAGCAGAUCUAGAAAGCUACAAUAACCAAGUGCUAUGAAAGAAUAAUAAAAGAUAAACCUGUUGGUUAGAAUGUGCCUCAAAUCUUGGUGCAUUGAUCUCAACCUCUCUGCUUUGUCAUAAAGGUUGUAGGGCAGGUAGUUGCGAAGGAAGAGAUUCAAAAGUGUUUCCUGCAUUCACAAAAUGACACAUUGAAUAACCAAAAACAAAAGCUGACUCAGGAGUUUCUAGUGUUUAUAAAAUUUGUCUACCGAGUUGGACAAAUAUCAACAACUGUAAGAACAUAUUCUGUGAGAUGUGUAUAUAUAUACACACUAUAUUACAUUUGUAGAUAUGGAGGUCUAAGAAGGCACAAGUAAGGCAGGGAAAAGAAACAAAAUGUAAAUAUAAGAACAUAAUGGGAGAGCAAAGCCUAGCAGGAGAUACAUAUAAACUCAGUACUUUUUUAAAAAAAAUUGACUGUUAAAAGGUUAGCAAUGGUGAGAGAUCAGAGCGGAUGAGCUAUCUGUUGCAAAAAGCAAGAAUUGUGCUCAUAUAUCUUAACAAUAAAGGUGGGAGCCGGAGAGAGGUUGGUAGUCUUUUAUUAUGGGAUAUUGUGUAUUGCUAGCCAAAUAAAAUGUGUUCUGGUACGCCUAAUUGCAGAAAUCAGAGAAACGAUAUAAACUAUAAUCUAGAAAGCUACAAUAACCAAGUUCUAUGAAAGAAUAAUAAAAGAUAAACCUGUUGGUUAAAAUGUGCCUCAAAUCUUGGUGCUUUUGAUCUCAACCUCUCUGCUUUGUCAUAAAGGUUGUAGGGCAGGUAGUUGCGAAGGAAGAGAUUCAAAAGUGUUUCCUGCAUUCACAAAAUGACACAUUGAAUAACCAAAAACAAAAGCUGACUCAGGAGUUUCUAGUGUUUAUAAAAUUUGUCAAAAAAACAAACCUGACCCAACACAUCAUGACGCAGUAUGGUGCAAGAACAGAAGAGUACUGCAAGUAGAAGUAGAAUCGAUCAGUUAGUUACAUGUUGAGUCAAUAUAAUAAACUCAAAACAAAUCGUCAGUGAAUCACUCACUCACGGAUCUCAGCAAGAUCACCAGUCAUCUCAUAACUCAAAAUAGUAAAAAUGAAAUCUUGAAACAUUACAGAUUCAAAUAUGGUCUACAUACAUAACACGAGUGUAACUAUCAACUUCAAUCAUUCCAAACAUCAGAAAGAAGUGUAAAAGCAAGACACAGUCACAAGUACCCUAGGAACUAAAGAAGAGAGAACCUCAGACCCAGGAACCAAAGCGAAGUCAAGGAAAUAAGACAUGACAGAACCAGUGAGCUUCUUUGUCAUAAAAAGACAGAGCCGGUGAGCUUAUGUCUUAGCCCGACGGUGAGACGCAGAGCAGGAGGAAUACAUCGGUCGUCGGAGUUUCUAAUUAUCAAGUAUAUUCUUCUCAAUUUGGUUGAAGUUGUGUUGUUCAUAGCUGGGAGAUCGGAGAUUUAUAGUCAGACCUUCUGUCGGUUACGAUGGGAGAUGCUGAGACCGAUUGAAUAUUCAGAGUGUGAAAACUGGAAACGUAAUGCAAAACUGGAAACGUAACAUUGAGAUUAUCGAUGGUAUCCGGCAAUUUUUUUUUUAAAGAAGUUAAGAAGGUGAUGUUAACCCUACUUGCACUUUAAUUGGCCAGGGAUGAAAAUACAAACAAAUUGCCCAGACCAGAAAAAAUAUAAAUGAAUGGCCCAGCCCAAGAAAAGUCACAGAAUCUGUCGAUUUUUUUUUAAAAAAAGGAGUGCCACGUGUCUAAAAAUGUCUCAUCCUCUUUGGUGACGUGGAGGUGACGUGGAAGGCUGUGGGCAGAACACAAGGCUACUUUAUAUAAGAUAAGAUAUCUGUCGAUAAUUAAUUAGUAGUGUCUUUUGUUUGCCUUUUGCUGUUUGCAGCCAAAAUCCAAUCUUAAUUAAGAAGUUGAUGGCCCCUCACAAUAUGUCACACCACCUCGUUUAAAUGUAUUAGUUUCAACAUUAAAGAAAUACAAUAAGUCCGAAGGCGACAAAUAAAAGCUAUUGUCUAUUUAAUUUAAAUAACUAGGCUAAAUAAUUUGGAAACAACAUCAUGUUCAUGUAUGUUGUAUCAUCUUAAUUGUAAACCACUUAACGUUGUCUUGGCAAAGAAGUUCCACUGCACCGUAACUCUUUUGCCAGUUCAUUGAUUUAUCCUCGAAGUCUAGUUAGCACACAGUUUAAUAUUCUUUUUUUUUGAAAAGGACACAGUUUAAUAUUCCAACUGAUUAAUUUACACUCGUGAUAUAAAAUUUAUAAACUUAUACACGGAAACAAGCUUUGGUUCAUCCGUUUUAUUAAUAUUAGUAUUAUCAUUUAGAGGAAAACAAACAUAAUUCCUUUUCAAACAAAAAACAUACAUAAUUUAUUGGAUAACCACCUCGUUAUUGUAAUGUUCACGUCUGAUUAGUACUCGACAGCUGUUCCACGGUAAUGUCAAUAGAAUUUUCUAAAAUAUUUAUUACUUAUUUUAUGUUGUAAAAACAUGUUAAUUCACCAGCCGUUAUUAUUCAUCAAAAAAAAAGAAGAUAGUAUUCAUCAUGGUUGUAUUUGAAUCUAAUGAAAACUAUAAUUGUGUAAGCCUCAGUUCAAAAAAAAAAAAAAAAAAACUAUAGUUGUGUUUGUUCUGUAAUCAAAUCUCCGUUACGUUUCUUUCAUUUUUCCUCACUAGUAUCUGACGACAAAGUCUUCAAGUCUCCUAAAUGUAAAAAUUUAGGAAAUAGAAUGGGCCCUUGGCUGAUCCUUGUACUGUUCCUAACGAUCAAGUAUAGAUAUUGUUGUCUGAACAUGCAGAAAUAAUACUAAUAGACAGAAAGUACAAAACGCAGAGAUAGGAAAAAGAAAAGAAUCUACAAAAGAGGAUAUGAUGGCUUCAGUUAUACCUUGGACGAUUACGCGGAAAAGGAGAUUCUCUAGAUCCAACGCGGAUCUACAUAUCGUCAUGUAACUCAUGUCUCUACACAAUUAUUUUCAACAUGGUCAUAUCUCUCGAGUCUCCUUGUAUAUAUAUGUUACUCAAUUAGUCAAUGUAACAAAAUAUUUUCGACAUUAGCAGUCAAAAAAGCAGAAACAUUAUGAUUAUAGAUAAGAAAAUUCUAUUUUAUAUUAUAAGGUUUUAAAACAAAUUAUGUUUUCGUUAAUGUUGAAUUAUUUGUUUGAAAUUAUUGAUUAAUAAGUUGCAGCAUAAAUGAUUAUUUACUUUCAUUGCUAUAGUAUAUAAUACUAAAAACACUACUUACAAUUAUAUGAUUAGUAAAACAUAACAAUAAGAAUAAGAUAAACAAGUUGACAAAAAAAAGAAUAAGAUAAACAAUACAAAUAAAAUAAUUUAUUUUUGUCAUCGUCUUAGAUAAAUAUAGCUCUUUUUGAAACACAGAUAACAAUACUAAAACAUCACUUAUUAUUAAAUUAUUUAAACUUUAAAUAUAUUAUUUCACAUUUUAUAUUUAUUUACAUAUUUAUUUAUAAAAAGUGUUGAAUAAAAAAUACUCCCAAUAACAUAUAUGUUGAAUGUCGUCUUCCCAGUUUCUUGUACCAGCGGCAGACUGGUACUUAGUUCCCAAGUUGCCGGUUCCUCAUCUACCAAAUAUAUUAUAUAUAAAUACUACAUUAAUCAAAUAAUGCAUGAAAAUUUCAUAAUAUAGUUUUAUUGUUACUUUUAAUUUAUUUCUUUAGAGGUUUAUAUGCAUCCACAUAUACUCCAGAAUAAAAUGCACGAAAUUUAACGUAAACUUCGCUUGGGUUUUAUUAUUUAAUCUGGAACUUAAAUCAGAAGUAGAAGGUGUUAGCGUAAAAUUUCCUCUUUACAGCAAUGGGUGGCUGACACGACGUGGAGAAACUUAGAGCAGAAGUUAACAGUACUCACUUGAAGGCAUCUCCUCUUUUCUAUAUAAACCAACCACAUUUCUGCAUGGCUUCACCAUUACAAAAGCGACAAAGAAACACAAAACAUACAUACACACAUAGAUCUACAUUGAAGAUGAGUUCUAAAGGAGAAGGCUCUAGUUCUACGUCGGAGCGUAAGGUGAAGAAAGAAACAGCGAGUGUGAUUCCCGUUAAGAGGAAGCUGGUAAAGACUAUGGCCGUCAAAGCCAUUAUCUCUGCCUUUUCUCCCUCCGCUAUUAGCCGACCUACCGGCGACGGCAACGGAGGGCGCGUGUACCCCACUCGUCCUUGACCUGUCCUUUUCUUGGGGUUGAAGAUAAUUUUGCAUCCUCCAGGAUCUUUUGUGGGUUUGAUAUGCUGUUGUUCUCGUCGUGUAAGCUUUUGUUAGUUCUGCUUCUCUUGGUAUUUUUGGUUUAAAUUAAUGUUUCCAUUCUUCAGUAUCCUGUAGCUGUAGGGGUGACAACCGAAGAUAUAUGAUGUCCUCUUUUGUGAAGAAAUCAAGUUGUAAUAAUUUUGAGUUGUUUUUGUGGUAUUAGUCUUUUUUUUCUGUCAAUUGUGGUAUUAGUCUUAGGCCAUAAUUACCGCUAAACUGUUUUUGGGUUUCUUAAAAAAAUUUUUUUUUUUUUUUAUUUUCUCUGAUUAAAAAAAAAUCAAUCACGAACCGCCACGUAUUACUAGGAUCCGCAAACAGUAGAUAGAAGAUCCUUCUUUGGCGACUUUUGUGAUCAAUUUUAACUGUUUUGUGAGACUUUCAGCAUGACUUUUUUUAACAAAUCCACUUAAUCCACUUAAGGAUCUCCGAUAUGAUAUUUAUGCUCUUCUAACUCUCGUUUUCAUUAGAUAACGUAUAACUAUAAUCAUAUUGAUUGUUGAUGAUUUAUAAUUUCAACAUGGCACGCGUGCUGUCUGGAUAAUCGGGAUUCGUAAAAGUCUAGGGAACAAUAAUUUCAUUUCGUUUUAACAUGAAUUAAACAUUUUUUUUAAAGUACCUUUUCAUUUAUUCAUUUUCCCUAAAUAGAGGCAUAAUUACAACAUCAUACAAAUCGAAGUUCAGAAAUGCAAAGUACUUAGAAACUUCUGUGAGCACAAAUUGGAUCACAUUUAAAAAAUAUCAAACCACACAGACAAAAGAGUGCGGUGAGAGUGGCUGUUGUUGGCCGUAGUCAUCGAUAGAGUGGAUGUCCUUUUUAUAACGGCCCGAUCCCCCGGCGUCCGGCCGGGGUUAUCGAAAGGGCGUUAUGGACACGUGUCUACUCAUUUAGACAACUCUACGUGUCCCGUUACUGGUUCCGAGAGCCGACGGGCGCAUAACCUUCUUUGAAAUACCGUCACACCCACAUCCAUAUACUUCUACUUACAGUCCUGCGCACAGGGAAAUGGAAAUAGAAGAGUGAGCAACAAGUUACUCAGUGAAGUGGCUCUAGACCAGCCUGCCCGUAUGACACUCUAUACUACUCUAUGCGGGAACUAGGACUGACUAGCCAUUACAAUCAGGUAAUGUAUUUUUAUCAUUUCAUACUGUCAUCACUAAUUCUCCACAUUCAAUUCCAUACAUUUCUAUCAACCUAGUGACCAAUCAUUACAAUGAACUCACUCAUUGCCACACACGUUAAACCCUAGACUUAACCGACUCAUCAUACCAUACUUACUCAUCUAUCAGCUUAGCAUUCAUUUCUCUCUAGCAUCCUAGCUUUAAUCACAAACCACUCAUGGGACUACACAUCCAAACAUACAAGCAUAAAUUACCAAUCAAUCAUCGCUACCACAACUCCAUUUCAGUUUACUAAGUCCCAUUUAACAAUAUGAGGGUUCUUAUGCAUCGUGUUCCAUUCAUCUAACAUCCUAGGAAUAAUCAUGAUCUAUCAUCCUAGCUUUCAAACAGGGUCUAAUCAACCCUAACUCCAACAUAAAGGAGUAUACAGUACAUGAGAACAAGAUGGGUUCAAGACACUCCACCUUAGCCUAGAUCUGGAUCCGGAUCUGGAAACAAGAGACAAGGGAGAGGAGAUUGAGAUCCGGUCACCACCACCACCACACGGCGCCGGCGAGGAGAGAGAGAGCGUGCGACGGUGAGGAGAGAGAGAGCGUGCGACGGCGAGGAGAGAGAGAGCGUCGCGCGGGAGAGAGAGAGAGAGAAGAGAGAGAGAGAGACGGCACAAGAGAGAAAGGGAGAGCUCGACGGCUAGGGUUUCUGGUCUCUGGGAAUUCUCUGCAGAGCUUCGCUUUAGUUUCUGUAUGAGGCAAAAGGGAGGCUGCAUUUCUUUUUAUAGGAAAGGGGAAGGGAACCCUAAGUUUUGUCAAAUGGGCCGUAGAGAAGCCCAUUCUUUUAUGAAAAUUUUUGGACCAGGAACCGGGCCGUUACACUUUUCUUAGUAAACCUCCUUAUGAAGACCAAGAAGACGAGCCCUACUUUGCAGCUGAAUUUCCUUCACUAGAGAGCGGUUUCAAAACAGAGGUAUAAAGACGCGCAUUCCUUUCACGCCACAAGUAAUAUAGGCUUUACUCCUCUUGUAGUCACAACAGAAACCAGCCACACAACAACAUCAUCAAACAUAGAGAAAGGUCUGAAAUGAUUUCGACUAAAGAAAGCGGACCAGACCUCCAUAGAAAAAUAAACAAAAUCAUGUAACAAAGUAAGCCUCGCUGUUAGGAUACAACUCACUAUUAAGAUGAAACUUCAACAACAAGAGGAUAAAAGAGUGCUAAUAUAGACGUGAUCUUUUGAUUUUGGAUCCAGAAUCCACAGAGCAAAACGAAGAAUGUUUUGUCUUCAUUCCACUUGAAAUGUAUAAACUUUACAUAAAGAACCCAUAUUCAAAAAUCAUAAACCAGAGUUUAACCAUCAAAUUUAGUAAACCGAACCAGGCUUAAACCUAAUACUGUAGAUCUGAACAAAACUUGGGUUCACCCUCUAUGGUGAACUCUCAAAUUCACCUCUAUUAUUAACACCAAUCAAAGUGCUACGUAGGAUUAGGAGAAAAAAAAUAUUAAAACUUAAAAAAAAGGAAAAUAGCUUUAAAAAAAAAUAAAAGAACGUAGCCGUUAACAGUGUCCAUGGCUUCCUUCAUCGCCACAGAGAAGAUGGAAGUUGUGUUUGUCAAGUUCAGUCUCCAAUUUUAUGCUUUCAAAUCGAAUUUUUAUUUCUUCUCCAAUCCAAAUCAAGCCAUGUAUGUCCAGAUAUCGGAUUAGUGUCAAAGGGUUGUCAAAGAGAGAACUCCAACCACAUAAUCUGUUCGCCACACUACUCUGAAGAGGUUGAUGUUGAAUUUUCCACGGAAUGGUAUGUUUACUGAAUAUUCAGAUGUGAUGAACUUGUUGUCAGGCCAGUUUCUACUCACACAAAGCUUGCUCUUUUCAUAGCUUUGUUCUUUUCAUAGCUUUGUUCUCUGCUGGGCUUGAUCUCAAUGUGUCCUGCAAAAAGUAUCAACUUUUCACCAGUUAUUGACAUUGUCAAUCAAUUCUCAUGUGUAUAACUUAAAUCCAACAUACGUGUACGUACCAAUUGUAUCCACUGGCUGAGAAAGGAUGUGACUCGUACUUAUCACCGUUGUCUUUGACCAGUUUGGACAUAGUGUGAAAUGACUCGAACUUCACACAGAACGUAACUGGAGGACGAGUUCUCAUCUCUUCCCUUAUUGUUGCCGAGAGCUUCUUGUGAUUCCUAGCAGGAACAGAGACAGAGCUCCUAAUGUUACAAGGAAGUAUCCCCACGUCCAACAAUCCUUCUUCUAUUACUGCUUUUGUCUCCAUUAGGUUUUGAAAGUUGUAGUAAGGUUUUGCAAUUCUUACUACUUCCACGAUGAAAACAAGACAGAAGAAGCAGUAGACAAAUAUUGUUCCAUAGUUUGUAUUUUUUUUCUUUUCUUCGGUAAACUUUUUUUUUCUUUUUCAAGUGUACGUGUACGGUUUCUGAGUUGUGUAUUUAUGAACAAUUUUGUCAAGAGGUUCAUAUUCAAAGCUAACAAGACACAAUAAUAAAACUUGAUUGAGAUAUAAGAAUACAACAGUUUACAAAGUGUUGGGACAUUGUGUGUGCUUUGCUAAAGGUUCAGCAGACACAUUAAAGCUGAAUAUGGCCUUGAGUUUUUGAAGAUAACAAUAAGAGUAAAAACAAGAAUAUGCUAGAAACACCAAAAGUAAGAACGAAAACAUAACUAAUGCCUGCUUUCACAAUUAAAAUAACAGAGUAUUACGAUGAUCCACCAUGAUUGCCUCCAUACUUUCGAUAAGCUUUAUAUGCAGACUCAUCAGAACUAAAGUCCAUUCCAAUACAAAGUUCAUAUUUUUCUGAUUUUGAUUGUUUGCCUCUAAAGCAUCAACAUCUUCAGUCUGAAGAUAGUCCUCGUUGUUGCCUAUGUCCUCUUCUUCAUCGAAAUCACUGACAGAAGCAUCAUCAUCAUUGAAUGUAUCAACUUUUUCCUCAGCUAAAAACUCAUCUGAAUUCUGUCUUAACAAACUGGUGAAAUCGGAGACUUACAAACUAGAUUCAUCCUGACAAACGGGAACAGUUUCUUGACCACUUAAAUGACUAUUUUCCAUUGUAACUAUAUAGCAAAACAUAAAUUACAGAACAAUUAGACCUUAUUUUAAUGAAAAUUCUAAAUAAUUGAUAUUCUUAACUUGAAAGAGGAUAAAGAGAGUAGAUCAAUGUACCAAUGCGGAACGUAGCUCGAGCCGGUAAGUCAAGCUAAUAAUUAUUCGGGAGCAGCUUCCUGUUAGCAAAUUUCAAUAGAAUUCUCAAAACCUAAUCUGAUGAAACAAAGAACAUUUAUGUUUCUUUAGUUAAUGGCGACGUUCUUUUAUUUUUAUUUGAGCUAUUUUCUUUUUUUAAAUGUUUUAAUAUUCUUUUUUUUUCUAAUCUUACGGGACACUUUGAUUGGUGUUAAUAAUAGAGGUGAAUUUGAGAGUUCAGUAUAGGGGGUGAACCCAAGUUUUGAACCCAAGUUUUGUUCGGUAGAUCUUUAGUCUUCACUGUCAAUAGUAAAAUACAUUGAUCAGUUUUCAAAUCUAUCGAAUAUAAACAAUUUUGGUGCACGCAAUUCGCAUUAAUUCGGUCUUUACAUCAAAAAGAAACCAAGAAAGUCAUGUCUUAACCUGUAUAUUAAAAGCCAAGUCCUUUGACUCUACAGCUGUUUCACAAUAAGGUAAAUAAGAAUCUUUCAAAAUUAAUAGUGGCUUUUUUCAAAAAAGAAUCAUCUCCGUUAGUUAUAGUUUUACACUCGCACUCAUACUAGUAAACAUUUAAGUAUUUUUAAAUAUUUUGAUUAUUAUUUUUUAAAAUUCCCAUAUUUUCGUAUCCGUAUCCUGAAAUAAGAGAUAUAAGAGGUGUCUUUUAUAUCUCUUAUUUCAGGAUACGAGUGUAAAAAAACAGUGUCUUAAAUAAGAGAUAUAAGAGCUGUCUCUUAGCCGAAAAAUGUAAAAAAAAACAAAACAAAACAAAAAGUGUUAAAUCAUAAGUUAAAAAUCCCUGCUAUGAAUCUCUGCUAAAGCCAGUAAUGAAUUCGUAUCCGUAUCCUGAAAGAUAAACUGGAUCCGGCAGUAGUACUAGCAAGGAAUAAAAAAACAUUGAGGAUUGAUGUUAAAUGCCAAAAAGCUAAAAUUAAAAGGAAAGCGUAGUCACGUUAACUUUUAAUUUGUUCAGUAUACAAUUUUUUAUUGUUUCUGGAUCAUAACCAAUUCAUAACUUUUGAAACAAUUACCAAAUAAUCAAUACACUAGCUAAUAAUCCGUGAUGUUCGCGGAAUAAAAUAAUUGAUUAGAUUAUUUAUUUUACGUUGAAAUAAAAAAUUUGUCAUAUAGCUUUUUAAAUGGAUGGACAUUUAGAUAUCCGUUAGGAUUCAGUUGAUCCAUUUGGAUUUUGAUUUUUAGAGUUAGAAAUUUAAAUAUGAUUCGGAUAUUUACAAAUUCCGGUUUGAAUUUGGAUUGAAUUUAGUUUGAAUCAUUGCAUGCUUGGUUCAGGUUCGAGUUCAGGUACCUAUUUUAAUUAUGUAAUUUUUACCAAAAAUCCAAAUAUACUUAAUCUUCAAAAUCUGAAAAUAAAAAUAAUAUAAAAUUUACAUAAAAAUAUUUCAAUUUAAAUAUUUAGAUGGAGAAAAAAUAUAUUUCAGUAUUUUGAACAUAUUUUGUUAUUUUAGAUAUUUUAUAUUAAUUAAUAUCUAAUAGAUAUAAAAUUUAAAAUAACUAAUAUAUUUAAGUAUAUAAUUGUGUUUUAGAUAUUUUUGGUAUCCAAAAUAUUUCAGUUUGGAUCGGAUUCGGGUCUUGUUAUCCAGAUAUUAAACUUUUAGAUCCAUUUGAGUACUUAAUCAGUUUUAGUUUGUGUUUAGUAUUACUUUCAAAUCAAGUUCGGUUUGAUUCUUCGGAUCCAAAUAUUUUACUCAAAUUUACUGUCUUCUACAUAUAUAAAGAAAAUAAAUAAAUGUAAGAGUAAUAUGUUAGACUUGUUUUGCAUACAUAAUUAUUGGACCAUACUUUAAGAAUACCAAUAGAAAUGGUUGGACGUCGUGUCAAUAUUGUUGGACAUGUUAAAAAUUUGACGUAUUCUAUAACCAAUAACGUGUACCUUCUAUAAAUUUUUUUGGUAAAUGUGAUAAAAACACGAUACAAUCGAGUGAAAUGGUUGUGACACUGCGCUCUGGUUUGUGAAUGGUUCUAAAAGCAAAAAGUUCUCAUCACAUCAGAUUUUCAAGGCCAUUAGAAGGUCAUUGCCGCAGAAAAGUUGGGCUCUGUUGGUUUGGCAUAUGGCAAUCAUUCCUAGGCACGCUACUACUACUUGGUUAUUCAUUCUGAACAGAAACCCAACCUUUGAUCGCAUGGUCUCUUGGUGUGUUGAUCUAGACCCCAUUUGUUUGUUAUGUGGAGAAGGAGAUGAAUCUCGCAAUCAUCUUUACUUUGAUUGCUCCUUUUCCUCUAUGGUGUGGAGAUCACUUAUGCAGCAGUUUCAUCUUUCUUCUGUCCCUCUUAUGUGUGCUGAUAUUUUACACUGGCUCCCUAAUCCUCACACGGAUCCCAUGGUUCGACUAGCAAUACUCCAACUGUGACAGGCAGCAAUCUAUGAGCUUUGGAAAGAGCGGAAUAGGCGGUUACACGAUGGGCUGACGAUGCCGCCAAUUCGUAUCAUGAGAUUCAUCAUCACAUCUCUUAGGGACAAAAGCUCCGCUUUACUUUCCCUAAGUCAUCCUUCAAGUCCUCGCCUUGCUCGAUUCUGGUUUGACCCUUCAUAAUCAUCUGUCAUGUAUGUUGUGGCUCCUCAAAUCUAUUUCUUAUCAGUGAUGUACCUGAUCCUUCUCUCCCCUUCUUAUAUUAUGUAAUCUGGUGCUUGCUUGCCUUUUGUAAUUGCUAUUUUAUUGAUUAAUGAAAACCCUUUAACAAAAAAAAAAGAUCGAGUGAAAGGAGUUAGAAUUGCGUCAAAGAUAAUGUGAUCUCUUCAUUCGGUACAUGAAUUAUGUUUUUCAAUCGAUUUCACGAAUUUUCUUUCUUUUAAAACUUUUAUGAUUUCGUUAUAUAUAUAUAUAUAUAUAUAUAUAUAUAUAUACACAUAUAUACAUAUAUAUAUUAAACCACCAAUAUUUAGUAGAUCAUAGACAAAUAUUUCAUCUUGCUAUACUUAUGACCAGCUCUGCCUCGGACUUCAAUUAUUGUCGAUCAAAUUUCAAAUAGUGAACAAAAAUACAAACUUUUUUAUGGUUAAAGAAAAAUGUUAAAUCCGGGUCUAUUAAAGACAUAGAUCUAAUCUCCUGGUAGAAGGUGCUGUCCACGACAGACCUUCUCCCGGGUUUUCAUACGGACGUAUCCGCAGCCGUGGUGAGCAUAACAAUGUGACUUAGUUUCCGUAGCAGGAGAAUCAAAUCCCGAAUGUGUUUGCAUCCAAGGCGUGUCCACGACCACUGGAUCCAAAUGCCCGCUCCCAAAAAUAUAAACUUAUCUAUCAACUUAUUAAUAUUGCACCGAUGGUUGAGUGAACCGUAGUACAAGUUCAUACAUUUUAACUAAUAUGUACAUUUACGAAGAUUCACAUUUUAUAUGAACGUAAGAGCGUGAUUAUUGGGAGGUUUUUAGGGUGUGGUUCUUAGCCGAAUAUAAUAAUCUGUUUCUGAACUUUUAAUUAAAAAAGCUAAGAACUAUCUCUUAAAACUUUUAUUUAAAAGCCGAUUCUUAGUUUUUAGUUAAAAAUUAAGAGACAUGUUCUUAUAUUCUGUUAAGAGCCUCAUCUUAAGAACCCUCCAAUAAUGAUGCUAUUAGAGAUGCCACUUUCACUUUAUCUUUUCCCUAUAGAGACUUCAAAACAUUAAGUAGAAGUUGUUGUUAAUAGAAAUUAUUACUGCAAUUGUGCUGCGGCCACGUGGUAUUAAGUGUGAACAUAUAGCAACUUGAUGACAAUUUUAUUACUUUCUUCCCUUUUUUUAAAGAUCGACUAGAGCAUGUCCCAUUCUCUAUUUAUUCCCCCGUAGGAAGAUAUCUUCUCUAUAUAUGCAGACAAACACACAUAAAUUCAUAUACACUCAUACAUCUAUUUCUUAUAGUCUUAAGAAGAUCAUGAGCUCCGAGGGGCUAAAGCCGUUUAAGAAGAAAGAAGGGACUGUGAUCCCCAAGAAGAGAGAGUUGGUGAAGACAAAAAUCCUCAAAGCCAUUCUCUCUUUCUUCCGUCGCUCUGACAGCAAAAAAAGUUCUGAGGCUACGGGUGACGGUGCCAGAAAGCGCGUGUAUCCCACUCGCCAAUGACCGCUCGUUUACCGUGGAGUUGAAGAUAGUUACUAUCAUGAUCUUUUAUGGGUUCAUCUCCUCUGUUUCAUUUGUUAUAGUAUAUUUAAGUAGAAGGAAGCUUAAUUAGCCUUGUUGAAGACUAUCUGUUUCUUUAUAUUCGAGGUUUGGUUUCUCCGUCUCGAUAAAGGGAAAUAUUUCAUGAAUGAUGAAUUAAUAUGUUUAGUCCUCUUCUUGUGUAAAACCCAUUCAUAUAUGAUGAGCAUGAGGCGUUGUGAUUCGUUAUGGUACGAUAGUCUUUAAAGCAUACUCUGUUUUUAAGGUGAUGAUAGAUUGGUGUUAUGAUCAUACGAUGUAGUUUCGGAUAUUAUAUGCAAAUGUGCUGUCUCGAAAUUAAUUAAUAAAUUUUGUAAUAAUGAUAGUACAAAAAAAGAUAAGAUAAAGAAAGAAAGUAGAGAUUACAGACUGUAAAAUGAUAGGGUUUUAGUUCUCUAACUUACCUAUAACUCUCAUUGGUAAUAAAGUUAUUACUAUGUCAAGUUAAAAAUAAGAUAGGAAAUAAAAAAAUCAACAAGUGUAAUUAAUUAAAACAAACAAAAUUUUUAGCCAAUAAAACUGAUAAUAAAUAAAAAUUAAGAGAGCCAACGUGUGUUUACCAAUUGGGAGACAAUGGGACCUGUCAGAGUAGGAAGGUUGUCGUCACUAAUGACGUCUCACAAGUUCGUCAGUGCUGGUCACUGACUCAGAUUUUAAUUGGACAGGAAUAUUCCUUCUAUAAAUAGCCAAACUUUCUUUAGAUUUUGUUCGGUAAAUAAUUUCUCAAAAUCGAGGAUACAUCUUCAUCAAAUACUUCAUCAGAUUUAGUUAUUUGUUUCCAUUCGAUCCGAAAAAUUUGGACAUCUUUAAGUCUACAGAACAAAACAAAUAUUAAAAAUUAAUAUCCGUUAAAAAGAAACAAACCACAAAUACUAAAAAUUUCAGAGUCGGAUAUCCGCUCCGUUCAUGUUUUAUAUAAAUAAAAGUAUAUUCACAAUUAAAUAGAGAGUUGUAGAUAAAAAUUUACAUAAUAAUUACUAUUUUAAAUAUAAUUUUAAUAAUUUCAUAUAUAAAAUUAUUCAUAAAGUAUUAAAUUAAGAAAGAAAUAGAAAAUCUUUUGAAAAACUACAUUUUUCUAAAAUUUUAUCUUUUAUAAAAUUUAUAAAACAUAUAGUUUCACUAUUUUUUUACUUUUUUUAUUUAAUAUUAUGUAAAAUAUAUUUUUGAAAAAAAAAGAUUUAUUUAAUAAAAUGAAUGAGAUAUUAGUAAUUUUAAGCAAAGCAACUCAGAAAAUUAAAUUUUGGUAAAAUACGAAGCAAAUUACAAAUACUGAAAAUUUGUAUUAUCGGCUCCUUGCCCAUCCUUAGAUUCAGUGUGCUGUAAAAAUUAAAAAGAAAAAGAAAAAGCAAACAAAUUCGUCGGUUAAAUAAAAGAUGAAGGACUAUUUUUAAUGGGAUUGAGUCUUGUUGGGAAGCAAAUAACAAGCCUGCCUUGUGUGAGUCUGGAAUCACCAAUUGACUUGAAUUAUUUUACAUUAUCAUCAAUAAGCAUCUGAAUUAAGUUUUCUUAGCAUUCUUUUAUUGUAACAGGAAAAACGUCGAGUACUUAAUGCACCCAGCUCCGUUAGAUAAUUGAAAAUCAGACGCGAAGAUCUAAAUCUUAUGUCUUAUUCUUAAUAUGAAGUUAAGAUGGGUGAUUUAUUUACGGGAUAAGGUCAAUAUUUUCAAUUCAUAUGUUGAAUAUUUUUUUUUUGUCAGCUAUCCAUUUAGAUUAGGUCAAGUGACGACGAGACGAACAUGUACUUUGAUUAGCACAUUCGUCUGGCCGGAUCUGAUCUAUAUAAAAAAAAACGUUUCUACUCCUUGCUUCUUUUGCCAACGCGUCAGUCCGACCAUUCCUACUAAAAAAAUAUGAGAUAGACACACAUCCUUGAAAUCCUCCUGUAAUAUAUAGAACACUUCGAUCUCCGUCGCGAAAGUUGGCCAAUCCACCGGGUUUGUAGUCAUGCCUACUAGAUCCGAACAGUAGGGAUGAGCAAUCAUCAUCAGAAUAAAGUUUUGGUUCGGGUUGAUUCGGGUUUCGAGUUCAUGAAUUACAACUCCAUUCGGGUAUUAUAAAAGUCCGGAUCAGAUUCGGUUCGGGUUUAGUAGGGUUUGGCUCAGGUUUAGUAACAUGUCCAAGAUCCGGUUAAACCCAAAAUAGUUUCGGUUUUGGAUAUUAAUCUGGUCAUUGGUUUCAAAAACAUAAAUUUAUACUUGAUUAAACUCAAUAUAUCCAAUAAGUAUGUGUAUGUGGCUUCCUUAAACCAUAUUGUCGUGUUUCAAAAUAACUUUGGCAGACUCGCAUAUCAACAUACGAGACUGUUCUUGAACAAUGCAUGACAACAUCAGACAUAUCAUGACAUACCAAAUCCUUGUACUAACGAUAAUCAUACAUAAUAAAAUGUAAACAAACGAAAAUUAACAACUAGAAACUUUCUAAACGUAAGAAACACUAUUUGAAUUUUAAAAUAAAACAACAUUGUUUAAAAUUUAAAAGCAAACAUAUUCAUAAUUAAAUUUCAAAUGCAAUUGUCAAAACAUAGAAACAUCAAUACUGACUAAAUACUAAAAAUAUAUAUUAAACUAAGUAUUUGAGUAGGUUAUUCAUGUAAUAGAUGAUUAUUUUAUGUACACAAUAAUAUCUUAGUGUAUUUUGGAUACAUAUUAGGGAUUGAGAUCAUGUUUGGUACGAAUAUUUUUUAGAAUAUUUUUUUUUUUGGAUUUUUAAGAUAUCCAUUUGGAUUCGGAAUCAGUUCGGGUAUAACCUAUAACCCAACAUACCGUAGAACCAGAUUCAUUCAAUAUUUAUAUCGGGUUCAGAUAAGUUCAGAUUCAUUUUUAUAGGAUCGGUUUCAGAUUUUUGGAUUCGGUUUAUUUUCCUAGACCUACUAGCCAGUGUAAAUCUACGGUUAAGACACCGGUAUUCAACAAAAUCAAACAUAGCAAAUGAAAACCUAGGAAGUGGAACCAAUGGCUAUUGGAGAACCCAAGAGUUAGGCAUGGGCAUAAUAUUCGUAAUCUGAAAUGAAUCCGAACCGAAAAACCCGAUCCAUAUCCGGUCUGAAAUGUAAAAAAUAUCCGAAUGGAUCUUGUAAGGUGGUACAAAACAUAUCCGAACCCGAAGUGUUAUUGACCAAACCCAAACGGGUAACCCGAAAAACCGAAAAAACUGAAAAAUCCGAAAAAAUAUCCGAAGAAACCGAUCCGAAUGUCCAAAAUAAUAUACAAUAUAAUUAUAUGAAACAUGAAUAUAUACUUCAAAUAUUCAAUUUCAUAUUUAUUUUGAUAUGUUAUCUAACAAUAAGUAUUUAAAAUUUAAAUAACUACCUUAAAUACUUGAUUAUAUAUAAAUAAAUAUAUAUUUCUUAUGUUUUACUUUUAAAUUUUAGAUUUUAUUUCGGGUAUAUCCGAACCGAUCCGAUAUAACCCGAAUCCGAAUUAUAUAUGAUUACUUUAUGGGUUCUAUGAUGUGAUACAAAACCGACCUGAACCCGAUGUGUUAUAUCCGAACCCGAUCCGUACUUACAAAUUUACUAGAAUGAGACCUAGAAGGUGUUAAAAAAGAGAACCGAAAUCCAAAAAACCUGAUCCGAACGCCAACAGGUACCCGAACACCCAGGCCUACCAAGAGUCAUCGUCAAACCACCAUUAUUGACACAAGAAAAGAGUUUUCGUCGAGAUCAAGACAUGGUUAUUAUGUCUUCAUCAAGUUCUUUAACCAAGGAAAAGUUCCUUAAAUUGCCAUCUCUAAACAGUCCCGGCCAAAAAAAUUAAAAUUUUGCUUAAGGCCUUAACCUAAUAUAGAAAAUAUAAAUAAAUGAAAAUUUGUAAAGUAAAAUUAGAAAGGCAGUUAUGUGCCCUAGUCAACUGUUUAUGUAGCCUACCCUUUGGGCCGGGCAUUUCUUCAAGCAGGAGAUUUGAAGGAACUUUCUUCAAAUCGUCAUCUCUGAGCAGAAUAUUUGGUAUAGCGGCUGCUGACUUGACAAUAAAGUUUCGUAAAGAAAGAGAGUAUAUAUCUGACAGUAAUGUUUCCCUCGUACAGAGAGAGAGAGAGAGAGAGAGUAUAGAUCUAUCUGGUCCCAAAAACUUUCUUAAGAACAACAGAUCAGAGACUAGGAUUCAUCUUAUAAAAUCUAAGAUGGACGAAACAGCUAUCAACGAAGUAAUUGUAAACCACAAGGAACCGGUGGUUCCAAUAUUUGAAGAAAUUGACAAUCCUUUAAUUGAUUUGGAUUGCUUCAUCCUUAUGUAAGGAUUAAUUAUUAUUAUUUUUUAUUUUUUUUUGUUGAAAAUGUUUUUGGUAAAUCGAUUUCUAUAUGUAAUGCAUUUGAAUAGUUUGGACUUUGGACUGAAUACAACUUAAGGGACUUAUAAUUGCCAUGUCUUUUAAUAAUAACUAGAUCUCGACCGCGCAACCGCGAAAUUUUUUUUUCAUUUAUUUUUAUAUAAAUAUUUUGUUUUCAAUUCUAAAUUAGUAUAUAUUAUAAUAUAUGUGUCUAUCAAUUUUUAAAACAUAGUAAGUUUACGGUAUAUUUUUUCAUUGAAUAGAUUUUUUCAAAUAUUUACAUGUAUUUGUAUCUUCUUCUAUAUAUAUAUUUUCAGAUUAUUAUUUCAUUAUUAAAAUCGUAACUAUAUAUAUAAAAAUUAGUAAAAUAUUGUUUUAUUGUCAUAUUAAAAUAUAUUGUAACAUUUCACAAAUUUAGAAAGUUUUUUAAAAAAUAAACUUUUCGUUUCAGAGAUUUAUAUUAUCGAGUAAAUAAUUAAAUAUUUAGUUUUUGUUUAAUUUUUAAAAUAAAUUAUAUAGUUUAAAAUUUGUUUUCAUUGGUUUAAGGUAGUAAAAAUUAAUCAUUGUUAGAUAAUAUGAUUUUUGUUAUUUAAAUUUUUUUUUUAUAAUUUCAAAAGUUAACAUCGACAAAUAUUUAAAUAUUUAACACAUGGAGGUAUAAUAUUACAAUAUUAAAUUAUAUCUAUUGUUUAAAUCCAAUUAUUGAUAGCCCAAUAAAAAUUUCUCGUAGGUCCAAAAUUUAAAUGAUAAGAUUAGAGAUUAAAUGUAACAUGACUUUGUAGGAAUAUGUCCAUUAGAUCCAUUUUAAAAAAAAUCACACAUGAAUCAAGGUUGUGACUUCUGUUUUAAUAUAUAAGAUAUGUUAAGACCCUCGUCUUGCGCUAAUGAACAUUAAUUAUGUAUACAAAUAAUUGUUACAUCCGUACUAUUAAAAUAGAAGUCAUGAUUUUUUUCAUGUGUGAUUUUUUUGUUUGGACCAUCCUUAGAAAAUUUAUUAAAUUUUACAUAACUUAAUUAUCAUAUCUUACAAUAUCUUUAUUUUUAUUUGAAAUACUAAUAAAUAUCUUAAAGAAAUGUCUAACAAAAUCUACAAAUAUCUUUAGAUUCUUUUUUAAAAUAUAUUUUUGAAAAUAGUUAUUUAAAAUUUUAAUUAUCACAAAGUAUAAUUACAAACUAAAUUUUAGUUUAGUUUUGAUUGUAAACAAAAAUAAAUAAUGAUAAAAAAACACAUUUAAUAAUAUUUUAAUUAUAAUAAUGAGGACAAUUCUCUCAAAUAGCCUUUUGUUAAUUUUUUGUCACAAAAAUAGCCAUCGAAGAAGACAAUGACCAAAAUAACCCACUUUUUAUUUUAAAAUUUUGAGUUUUUUUUUUAAAUUUGAAAUCCUAUCCCCCAAAUUUCAUUCAUUAACUCUAAACCGUAAGUUUAGAUUAGUUUACCAUUGGAUAAAACUGUAUUUUUACCCUGUAAUAAAACUUAUUUUAGUCAUUUUCUUCAUUGAGUGCUAUUUUUGUGAAAUAAACUAAAAAUGACUAUCUUAGAGAAUUUCUCUAAUAAUAAUUUCAAAUGGAAUUUAUUUUCAAAAUUAAAUUUAAGAAAUAUUUUAAGAGAUGGUUUAAAAAAUAUCCAUUUAUAUUUCUAAUUUAAAAAUAAACAUAUCUUAUCUAUUUAGCUCAUAAAUUAUGACUUAUUUCAUAUGUGAUUUUGUUUUAAUUUAGAUCACUUAGAAGUCAUACCUUUAAAUGCUUUUGCCAUAUAAUAAAGUUAAUUUACACUUUCCAUCAUAAAGGAAACAUUUGAUCUUUAUUAAUUUACACGAACUUUAAUAACACUAAACUAAAGUUUUAUAAACUAAUUUGGUUUAUUAUUUAAACACCUAUACUUAAUUGGUUUAAUUAAUCACUAUAUACCAAAUUCUCUAUUAUGUAGGUUCAACUUAAUUUAAUUUCCACAUAUAUUUCAAAUUUAGAAUUAAAACAAAAUUUAUGUAAAUCAGUAUUGUUACAUAAUAAUGUUUUCUAAAUAAAUUUUGUUACAAAAAUAAAAUUUAUAGUAAUAAUAUUAUACACCACACAAAUAUUAUUAUAAAGCUAGAUAAUAUUUAACACUAAAUUAUAUUAAUUUAUUGAUAUAUUAUAUUGCAUAAUAUAAAAUAUUUUAUAAAUAAAACUCGCACGGUCGUGCGGGUCAAGAUCUAUUAAUAGUUUUUAUUUUGUGUUCAUUUACGUAUUAUAUAAUUAAGUUAGAGUAAGUACAUAAAUUAAAACAAUCAUUUUAUUUAUUUUAUAUGGUAUAUAAUUAAAUUUCAAUGAUAUUGAAAUACAUGCAUAGUAUAUUUUAAUAUAUAUAUAUAUAUAUUAUUAUUAUUUAGAUUUUUUACUCAUAUGAUUUUAUUAAAAUUUGUAUAAUUGUUGUAACAAAAAAUUCAAACCAUUACUCACCAAAAAAUUCAAUGUGAGAUUUUUUCGAUACAUAUUUGAAAAUUAAAAUAUUAAGCUCUAAAUACUUCUUCAAUGCAAAUUUAAAAAUUAACAUAUUUAUGUAUUUUAUAUGAUAUAUAGUUUAAUUUAAACGAUAUUCAUAUUAUAUAUAUAUAUAUAUCUAUUAAAUGAGAUUUCAUACGAUUUUAUGAUCAUUUAUAUAUUAUUAGAACAAAAAAUGUUAACCCAUUUAUUACAAAAUUACUAGUGUGAAACUUUUAACAUUUUUAAUAAUUUAUAGUCUUUUGUAAAAUUUCAAAAUAUAACAUAUGAGAAAAAAACUAAUUUUUCAUUAUAUGAUUAAUGUGAUUGUUUAAUUUAUAUUAAUAAUAUAAAAUUAAACAAAAAUGAGGGAGAAUACAAAAUUCUUAUCAAAUCUUUGUUAUUCAUAGUAAUUAAUUGUUAUAUAUAUUUUAAUUGUAUUAGGUAAUUCCAUAUCUAUCAUUUAAGGAAAUAAUGAAAAAUAUUUUUUUGUACACUGCUACUC
rnacentral:lncRNA from 1 species